GUUCUCACAUUCAGUGGAGUAUGUUCAUUCAUUGACAUUCGUGUUGCUUGUUAUGAAUUUCAAACAUCAAUCGUGCUGCUCUUCUCAAAUUAUAAAAAUACCAUGCAAGGUCCAAGGUCAAUCUGAAGCCCAAUGCAGUCAACAGAAAACCACGGAUGUUUUUAGCGGAUUUGCUUGCUCAUCACUGUGGCAGAAAUAACCAGAUUUGAGCCUGGCAAAGAACUAAACUAUUUCUUUCUCAUGUGGACCAGGAGUCUUUGCACUUCCAGAUGAGGCUGCUGCAGUGCACCUUUCAUUAGACCGUAACUCCAAGAAAGCAGGCUGAUAAAGAGUGGUGUCACCUACCUAAUAGAUGAGGUUGUAAGAGCAUGAGAUCCUGCUGCUUUGUCAUCUACAGGUAUUAUCUCCUAGACUGAAUUUAAGACAUCAGUUUUGAUUUAGAAAGCUUCCUUUAGCUUUGAACCCUCCUAUAUGAGAGACUGACUUUCCAGCACCAUACUUUUUUCGUUAAAAUCAGCAAAGGCAUCCCCUUUCACUCUGAAGAGAGCAGGCAGGUGUCUAUAAAUCCUUUGUUAAUGUCAUUCCUUGCUAGAAAAGCCUUGGUGUGCUGAUCUAUCUUCAGGGCAUUUUGCAAAAUAGAUACUUUACUGUGAAUUUUGGAGCUUAUGUGUUAUGAUGAAAACUGGAGAUCUGUAAGGGAUAGAAGAUGGGGGAGUUUUGCACAGGCUUAAUCCUGAUAGUUGUUAAGAAAGGAUGUGAAUAUUUAAAUCUUGUCUGGGUAGUUUAAAAGGUAUAGGAAGAUUUUGGGUAAAUGCUCACUCUUUGUGACAGCUUCUAUAAAUAUUUAAACAUAUACUGUCAGAUGCACUGAUAACCUUUGUCCUCAGAAUUGGUUAUGUUUUAGUUGUACAUAGAAUAGUUUAAUAAACUGUAUAUAGAAAUUAUAUACACUUAGAGAGCUAGCUGGUAUGGGAAACACCCUGUGCUUUUUUUUUCAUAGUAACAAAUCAAUCUGUGUUAAGGAGCAAGCAUUGUACUAACUGUGGAAAAAAUUCUAGAGAAUUUAUCUAUUUUUAGAACCCUGAUUUUCUAAUAUUAGAUUUUUGGCCACUGAGGACAGUAUGCAAUACCAGUAGAGCUUUGCAGCUCUCCACAAAAGAGACCAAAACCAAGUGAGUAAAUUGUCAGGAUUGAACAUAUUCAGAAGGGAAGGACUUCUAAUCACGUCUCAGUUAAUGCUGCAGUAAUGGGGAAAUCAGAAA